rnacentral:rRNA from 1 species
UACGGGGGGGGCAAGCGUUGUUCGGAAUUACUGGGCGUAAAGGGCUCGUAGGCGGCCAACUCAGUCGGACGUGAAAUCCCUCGGCUUAACCGGGGAAUGGCGUCCGAUACUGGAUGGCUUGAGUUUGGGAGAGGGAUGCGGAAUUCCAGGUGUAGCGGUGAAAUGCGUAGAUAUCUGGAGGAACACCGGUGGCGAAGGCGGCAUCCUGGACCGAUACUGACGCUGAGGAGCGAAAGCCAGGGGAGCAAACGGG